rnacentral:pre_miRNA from 1 species
AUGUUACUCCCUCCGUCCGGAAAAGCUUGUCCCUCAAAUGGAUGUGUCUAGCACCAAAUUAGUGCUAGAUACAUCUAUUUGAGGAACAAGUUUGGGACAAGCUUUUCUGGACGGAGGGAGUAUUAU